rnacentral:rRNA from 1 species
CCUACGGGAGGCAGCAGUGAGGAAUAUUGGUCAAUGGACGAGAGUCUGAACCAGCCAAGUAGCGUGAAGGAUGACUGCCCUAUGGGUUGUAAACUUCUUUUAUAUGGGAAUAAAACGUUCCACGUGUGGGGUUUUGUAUGUACCAUAUGAAUAAGGAUUGGCCAACUCCGUGCCAGCAGCCGCGGUAAUACGGAGGAUCCGAGCGUUAUCCUGAUUUAUUGGGUUUAAAGGGAGCGUAGGUGGAUUGGUAAGUCAGUUGUGAAAGUUUGCGGCUCAACCGUAGAAUUGCAGUUGAAACUGGCAGUCUUGAGUACAGUAGAGGUGGGCGGAAUUCGUGGUGUAGCGGUGAAAUGCUUAGAUAUCACGAAGAACUCCGAUUGCGAAGGCAGUUCACUGGACUGCAACUGACACUGAGGCUCGAAAGUGUGGGUAUCAAACAGGAUUAGAUACCCGGGUAGUC